rnacentral:rRNA from 1 species
UGGGGAAUUUUGGACAAUGGGCGCAAGCCUGAUCCAGCAAUGCCGCGUGCAGGAUGAAGGCCUUCGGGUUGUAAACUGCUUUUGUACGGAACGAAACGGCGAACUCUAAUAAAGUUUGCUAAUGACGGUACCGUAAGAAUAAGCACCGGCUAACUACGUGCCAGCAGCCGCGGUAAUACGUAGGGUGCAAGCGUUAAUCGGAAUUACUGGGCGUAAAGCGUGCGCAGGCGGUUAUAUAAGACAGAUGUGAAAUCCCCGGGCUCAACCUGGGACCUGCAUUUGUGACUGUAUAGCUAGAGUACGGUAGAGGGGGAUGGAAUUCCGCGUGUAGCAGUGAAAUGCGUAGAUAUGCGGAGGAACACCGAUGGCGAAGGCAACUUGCUGGACUUAUGGUGACGCUGAGACGCGAAAGCGUGGGGAGCAAACAGG